rnacentral:rRNA from 1 species
GGUUAAGCGACUAAGCGUACACGGUGGAUGCCCUGGCAGUCAGAGGCGAUGAAGGACGUGCUAAUCUGCGAUAAGCGUCGGUGAGGUGAUAUGAACCGUUAUAACCGGCGAUUUCCGAAUGGGGAAACCCAGUGUGUUUCGACACACUAUCAUUAA